rnacentral:rRNA from 1 species
UUGGUCCUACGGGGGGCAGCAGUGGGGAAUAUUGGACAAUGGGCGCAAGCCUGAUCCAGCCAUGCCGCGUGUGUGAAGAAGGGCUUAUGGUUGUAAAGCACUUUAAGCGAGGAGGAGGCUACUUUAGAUAAUACCUAGAGAUAGUGGACGUUACUCGCAGAAUAAGCACCGGCUAACUCUGUGCCAGCAGCCGCGGUAAUACAGAGGGUGCAAGCGUUAAUCGGAUUUACUGGGCGUAAAGCGCGCGUAGGCGGCUAAUGAAGUCAAAUGUGAAAUCCCCGAGCUUAACAUGGGAAUUGCAGACG